UCCCAGACUUCCUUGCAGUGUGAGGUGGCCACCUAAGUUUGGGUCAAUAGGAUGGGCAAAAAGUGAGGAUUGCAAUUUUCUUUUUUAUAUGUUAAGCAUGAGAAUUCUUAACAUUCAUCAAAGGAAAAAAAAACCCCACAAAAACUAAAAAAUAG